UACAGGGGGUGCAAACGUUGCUCGGAAUUAUUGGGCGUAAAGCGCGCGUAGGCGGCUACCUAAGUCGGAUGUGAAAGCCCCUGGCUCAACUGGGGAAGUGCACCCGAAACUGAGUAGCUGGAGUACGAAAGAGGGUCGCGGAAUUCCCGGUGUAGAGGUGAAAUUCGUAGAUAUCGGGAGGAACACCGGUGGCGAAGGCGGCGACCUGGGUCGAUACUGACGCUGAUGCGCGAAAGCGUGGGGAGCAAACGGG
rnacentral:rRNA from 1 species